rnacentral:lncRNA from 1 species
CCUUGCACUGUUUCCAAAUGCAUUUGUGACAUAAAUCCCAUUUAGCAUGUUCAAAUCAUCUAUAAGUGACUUCAGAAUCAAUUUGAGAUAGUUUCAGAUGAUGCGCAAAAAAAUCGGUCCCAUGACUUGAAUGGGGUUUGUGCCACAAAUACUAAAAGGUUAGCAUUUGGAAACAAAACCAAAGCAAGGGAAAGAAAACCAAGGCGUGGAUUGCUGUCAUACCUUACAGGGUAAGGAAACCAAUGUGUCAUUUUGUAAUUUGUGUGAAUUAUCCCUUUAAUAAAAGCUAGCUAUAUUUUACUGUGUUGUUGGGUACAAGUGCCCAGUUCGUCCUCAUUGCCUGUUUUUUGUUACACCUGUUUUUUUAUUACACCUUGAUUGACACUUCUGCUGUGUUGCCUGUCUCUAUACUGUAGCUAGCAAGCUAAUUCCAUUACACAGGAGUCCUGAGAAACGCAACAGCUAGCUAGUUUUGUCAAGCAUUCUUUAUAUUAAGGAAAAACACGAGAACACAUUCAUUUAAGACUUACCAGACUUCCGUAGGCCAUAACAAGCACUACGUUGACGCUGGAGAGAGGAGAAUCGGACCUCAUGUUGAAAGUCUUCGUCAAAAGCUAAACUAGCGUAGAAUCAACAGAACUCACUCAUAGUUCCUUUCAGAAUGUACACGAUUGACUGUAACAUUAAUGAUCAAAUCUCGGUUAAUCCAUUGGAAAAUAUGUAACAACGAAGCGUUGACACUUCCCUGUUGUUGAUAUCGUUUGUUGACAUCCGGGAUUGUCACGUGAUCUACUCCCUGCCUUCUGGUUUCGAUGACGUAGCCGUAGCCGACAAAGGUCCUUCACCGCCACCUGCUGUUCGACACCCCACGAAACACAGGCGCUCCUCUCCAAUGAAGAAGCCAUUCUUCUUGAGGAGACUGCGGUGGGAGGCUGAAAAUAUGUCUGGAGUUGCAGAUGUGAACAUUGGGAUCUUUCCCUCACAUAGCCAGUCCAGUGCUACUCUGUCCAGCAAAGAUCUUCAUUUACAUUUUAUAUAGCACUAAUAAAGCUGUACAUGGGUGGAAACAGAAACUCUCCUCAUCCAUUACCAACGUGUAGCACCCAUCUGAUUUCUCUGACUCAACAGUGUUUCCCCUAUUGAAUAUUGCUUGGCUGGGUGGGAAAUCUCUCAAAGCAAAACCCCCGGGCCUCUGACACCAAAACAUUCCAUUACAGCUAAUGCUUUAGGGUGGUCAACAGAGAUGGUGCCUAGCCUAUACAAACAUUGAACUGUCAAGCAAGCAAACCAUUUAUCUGAAUUGGCAUCUCCUGAAACUGAACUGUUUCUGCGUAAACAUUAUAUUUUUCUCUUUUUUGUUUUUCUGUGAUAUAUAAGGUGACAAGUAAGUUUGCCUAUGUGUUGUCAUUGCAUGGACUUUGGUCAUUCAUGAUAUAGAUAUAGGCUAAUGUCACCAUUCCAUAGUCCAUGAUAUCUUGGGGAGACUUUGAGAUUGGCUCAUUUGGCUGAUACUGUAUCUGCACGCAUCCACGAGCCAUCUGUCUGUACACUGUGACAGUCUAGUCAUCUAUAACCCAAACCACUACCCUGCUUCUGUUAUGCUACUGGCUGACUGCCCCUGGCUGACUGCCCCUGGCUGACUGCCCCUGGCUGACUGCUACUGGCUGACUGCCCCUGGCUGACUGCCCCUGGCUGACUGCUACUGGCUGACUGCCCCUGGCUGACUGCUCUUGGCUGACUGCUACUGGCUGACUGCCACUGGCUGACUGCUACUGGCUGACUGCCACUGGCUGACUGCUACUGGCUGACUGCCACUGGCUGACUGCCACUGGCUCACUGCUCUUGGUUGACUGCUACUGGCUGACUGUCUGCUACUGGUGGAUUUAAGGGGUGAUGGCUGUAACUUGUUGCUUCACUAGAGUUGCACAAACACAUGUAAGUAUUGUACCUUUCUUAUUACAGAUUAUACAGAAAUGUUACAAUGUUGUAUGUCACAUGAUCCGAAUACAACAGGUACCGUGAAAUACAACACCUUACCGUGAAAUGCUUACCUUCAAGCCCUUAACCAACAAUUCAGAUUUUUAAGUAAGCAAGAAAAUAUUUGCUAUAUAUAUAUAUAUAUCAUUAAAAAAUAACAACAACAAGGCUAUAUACAGGGGGUGCCAGUACUGAGUCAAUGUGCGAGGGUACAGGUUAGUCGAGGUAAUUGAGGAAACAUGUACAUGUAGGUAGGGGUAAAGUGACUGCAUAGAUACUAACAGCAAGCAGCAGCAGCCUAAAAAAGGGGGUCAAUGAAAAUAGUCUGAGUAGCCAUUUGAUUUACUGUUUAGCAGUCUCAUGGCUUGGGGAUAGAAGCUGUUAUUAAGGAGACUUUUGGACUUUGAAUUGAUGCUCCAGUACCACUUGCCAUGCGGUAGCAGAGAGAACAGUCUAUGACUUCGGUGGUUAGAGUCUUUGACAAUUUUUAGGGCCUUCCUCCUACACUGCCUGGUAUAUUUUUUUAUUUAACUAGGCAAGAACAAAUUCUUAUUUUACAAUGAUGGCCUACCCCGGCCAAUCCCUCCC